rnacentral:lncRNA from 1 species
CCGGCACUCCUGGGUGCGGCACGGGACCGGAGGUGCUUUCGACCUCCGAGGCUGCGACCGCGUGUCCUGUAGCAGCAACCACUGCAGAUGGGGCGUUGCAGCUCUCGAGCUGCUGCGGCUGCAGCUGGACUUGGCAGGGGCUCCCUUAUUUCCUAGCCCUCAAUCCAAUUCCUAGUGAGGUGGCUGUCCUACCGGACUCAAAGAAUGAAACUGCCACCUGGGCUCUGAAGAGAUGCCAGUUCCAGUAGUUCCUCAAGGGUUCAAAGAACUUCAGUGACUGCCACAGGCAAAGUGGAUUCAAAUGCUAAACGGAACCAAGCAGACCGAAGACUGCAGAAAGGAAGGUCUGACACUGAGCACAGAUGGGGGGGGGGGGGGGAAGAGACGAAGCUUCCAGAAAUUCAGAUCUCCUCCCAGCUGCCCCUCCCUACCCAACUUGUAAAGGUUGCUUUGUGCUUUGACCAGGAGAGGCCUGGUUGGAAAGUGACUCUACUCUGUCUUAAUACAGAAACGCCUUACUAUGCUCCAGUGC